GACGAACCGUACGAACGUUAUUCGGAAUCACUGGGCUUAAAGGGUGCGUAGGCGGCGGCAAAAGUUGGGUGUGAAAUCCCUCGGCUCAACCGAGGAACUGCGCUCAAAACUGUGUCGCUUGAGGGAGAUAGAGGUGAGUGGAACUUAGGGUGGAGCGGUGAAAUGCGUUGAUAUCCUAAGGAACACCAGUGGCGAAAGCGACUCACUGGGUCUCUUCUGACGCUGAGGCACGAAAGCUAGGGAAGCGAACGGG
rnacentral:rRNA from 1 species